rnacentral:tRNA from 1 species
CGGGAUGUAGCGCAGUUUGGUAGCGCACCUGCUUUGGGAGCAGGGGGCCGCAAGUUCGAAUCUUGUCAUCCCGACCA